AUUGAACGCUGGCGGCAGGCUUAACACAUGCAAGUCGAGCGGAGAGAGGUAGCUUGCUACUGAUCUUAGCGGCGGACGGGUGAGUAAUGCUUAGGAAUCUGCCUAUUAGUGGGGGACCACAUUUCGAAAGGAAUGCUAAUACCGCAUACGUCCUACGGGAGAAAGCAGGGGAUCUUCGGACCUUGCGCUAAUAGAUGGGCCUAAGUCGGAUUAGCUAGUUGGUGGGGUAAAGGCCUACCAAGGCGACGAUGGGUAGGGGUCCUGAGAGGGAGAUCCCCCACGCUGGUACUGAGACACGGAGCAGACUCCUACGGGAGGCAGCAGUGAGGAAUAUUGGACAAUGGGCGCAAGCCUGAUCCAGCCAUGCCGCGUGCAGGACGACGGCCCUAUGGGUUGUAAACUGCUUUUAUACGGGAAGAAACCCUGCUACGUGUAGCAGACUGACGGUACCGUAAGAAUAAGGAUCGGCUAACUCCGUGCCAGCAGCCGCAGUAACAC
rnacentral:rRNA from 1 species